UCUGGGACAAGCCCUGGAAACGGGGUCUAAUACCGGAUAACACUCCCUCCCUCCUGGGUGGGGGUUGAAAGCUCCGGCGGUGAAGGAUGAGCCCGCGGCCUAUCAGCUUGUUGGUGAGGUAAUGGCUCACCAAGGCGACGACGGGUAGCCGGCCUGAGAGGGCGACCGGCCACACUGGGACUGAGACACGGCCCAGACUCCUACGGGAGGCAGCAGUGGGGAAUAUUGCACAAUGGGCGAAAGCCUGAUGCAGCGACGCCGCGUGAGGGAUGACGGCCUUCGGGUUGUAAACCUCUUUCAGCAGGGAAGAAGCGAAAGUGACGGUACCUGCAGAAGAAGCGCCGGCUAACUACGUGCCAGCAGCCGCGGUAAUACGUAGGGCGCAAGCGUUGUCCGGAAUUAUUGGGCGUAAAGAGCUCGUAGGCGGCUUGUCACGUCGGGUGUGAAAGCCCGGGGCUUAACCCCGGGUCUGCAUUCGAUACGGGCUAGCUAGAGUGUGGUAGGGGAGAUCGGAAUUCCUGGUGUAGCGGUGAAAUGCGCAGAUAUCAGGAGGAACACCGGUGGCGAAGGCGGAUCUCUGGGCCAUUACUGACGCUGAGGAGCGAAAGCGUGGGGAGCGAACAGGAUUAGAUACCCUGGUAGUCCACGCCGUAAACGGUGGGAACUAGGUGUUGGCGACAUUCCACGUCGUCGGUGCCGCAGCUAACGCAUUAAGUUCCCCGCCUGG
rnacentral:rRNA from 1 species